UCCUUUUAUUUUAUACGGGCAACACUGCUGCCACCGUGAUGACAACCCUAGGAAGAUUUUGACAGAUAGAGCGCUCGCUUUCUUCGUUGACUGAUAAACUAUGUUUUCUUACGAUUGUUAUAAAAACUUGUGUUUUAAAAGUGAAUACAAGCAGUUAUUGUGAUACGAAUUGACGUUUUAUUUCUGAUGGAAGCUAGGAGAUCAUACCCUAGCUCAUAUCAGAAGCGGGAAGAACAGAAAACGCCUAGUUACCAAUGGGGCGCGAAUGCUCCGAAUACAAUAAAAUUAAUGAUCACGCCACACCAUGCGAAACACUUCUAUACGAAGACGAGAUGACCACAGCACUGAUUGCUCAACCGCAAUAAUGCAUCAAGGACUUUUCUACUCAAGGAAAACAAAGCGACAUGGUCAACAGUAUUAUCAUCAGCGUUCCUCCACUUCAGCGCUCGUGAACACUGAUGGUAUUGAAGAGUAAAACUGAAUGUCUACAAUCGGAUGAGAUUAUAACUGCGAAAGACUUGUGGAGCCAAUAAUGACGACGAUCAGACAAGAUUCUUGUGUGUAGAUUACUGCUCGACACACACUACGCCUGAUGGCGAUUAGACACCUCCGCCGUGAUGAAACAUUGUACCAGGUACCCGAGACAUUGGACAAUCAGAUGGCUGGAAAGCAGGUGGCAAGUGAGAGUGCUUGGCCUCUGCAACAGUAAAGAGAGGCAGGUGGCAAGUGAGAGUGCUUGGCCUCUGCAACAAUAAAGAGAGGCAGGUGGCAAGUGAGAGUGCUUGGCCUCUGCAACAGUAAAGAGAGGCAGGUGGCAAGUGAGAGUGCUUGGCCUCUGCAACAGUAAAGAGAGGCAGGUGGCAAGUGAGAGUGCUUGGCCUCUGCAACAGUAAAGAGAGGCAGGUGGCAAGUGAGAGUGCUUGGCCUCUGCAACAGUAAAGAGAGGCAGGUGGCAAGUGAGAAUGCUUGGCCUCUGCAACAGUAAAGAGAGGCAGGUGGCAAGUGAGAGUGCUUGGCCUCUGCAACAGUAAAGAGAGGCAGGUGGCAAGUGAGAGUGCUUGGCCUCUGCAACAGUAAAGAGAGGCAGGUGGCAAGUGAGAGUGCUUGGCCUCUGCAACAAUAAAGAGAAGCAGGUGGCAAGUGAGAGUGCUUGGCCUCUGCAACAGUAAAGAGAAGCAGGUGGCAAGUGAGAGUGCUUGGCCUGUGAAGCUAUGAGAAGAUAUGGUAACAAAUGUAGAAUAUAAAAAGAUUAAUAUCAGAUCUGUUUGAAAACUUGAUUACCCAGUAUACAUAUAUUUUCUUUGAAUUGUAUAAAUUAUUUUUCUAGUAAAAAUUGCACUAAAA